rnacentral:rRNA from 1 species
UACGGAUGUGUUUAGCGUUGUUCGGAAUUAUUGGUCUUCAUGUGCACGUAUGUGUUUUUUUAUUUAUUUGUGUAUAUCCCAGGGCUCAACCCUGGAACGGCCUCAUAAACUCCCAGUCUGGAGUUCGAGAGAGGUGAGUGGAAUUCCGAGUGUAGAGGUGAAAUUCGUAGAUAUUCGGAGGAACACCAGUGGCGAAGGCGGCUCACUGGCUCGAUACUGACGCUGAGGUGCGAAAGUGUGGGGAGCAAACAGG